UACAUGUGGGGCAAGCGUUGUUCGGAAUUACUGGGCAUAAAGGGUGCGUAGGCGGCUUGUUAAGUCAGUGGUGAAAGCCCGGAGCUCAACUCCGGAACUGCCAUUGAAACUGUUUAGCUUGAGGACGAGAGAGGUGAGUGGAAUUCCCAGUGUAGAGGUGAAAUUCGUAGAUAUUGGGAAGAACACCGGUGGCGAAGGCGGCUCACUGGCUCGUAACUGACGCUCAGGCGCGACAGCGUGGGGAUCAAACAGG
rnacentral:rRNA from 1 species